rnacentral:rRNA from 1 species
GAUGAACGCUGGCGGCGUGCUUAACACAUGCAAGUCGAACGGGAAACCUUUUAUUGAAGCUUCGCCAGAUUUGGCUGGUUUCUAGUGGCGGACGGGUGAGUAACGCGUGGGUAACCUGCCUUAUACAGGGGGAUAACAACCAGAAAUGGUUGCUAAUACCGCAUAAGCGCACAGGACCGCAUGGUCCGGUGUGAAAAACUCCGGUGGUAUAAGAUGGACCCGCGUUGGAUUAGCUAGUUGGCAGGGUAACGGCCUACCAAGGCGACGAUCCAUAGCCGGCCUGAGAGGGUGAACGGCCACAUUGGGACUGAGACACGGCCCAGACUCCUACGGGAGGCAGCAGUGGGGAAUAUUGCACAAUGGGGAAACCCUGAUGCAGCGACGCCGCGUGAAGGAAGAAGUAUCUCGGUAUGUAAACUUCUAUCAGCAGGGAAGAUAGUGACGGUACCUGACUAAGAAGCCCCGGCUAACUACGUG